UUAUGGAUGACAGUGGUAGAGAUGAAGGAGUCAUGUUUAUUAUGGAGGACAGUGGUACAGAUGAAGGAGUCAUGUUUAUUAUGGAGGACAGUGGUAGAGAUGAAGGAGUAAUGUUUAUUAUGGUGGACAUGGUGGUAGAGAGAUGAAGGAGUCAUGUUUAUUAUGGAUGACAUAGUGGUAGAGAUGAAGGAGUCAUGUUUUUUAUGGAGGACAGUGGUAGAGAUGAAGGAGUCAUGUUUAUUAUGGAUUACAUGGGGGUAGAGAGGUAGAGAGAUGAAGGAGUCAUGUUUAUUAUGGAGGACAUGGUGGUAGAGAGGUAGAGAGAUGAAGGAGUCAUGUUUAUUAUGGAUGACACAGUGGUAGAGAUGAAGGAGUCAUGUUUAUUAUGGAGGAAAGUGGUAGAGAUGAAGGAGUCAUGUUUAUUAUGGAGGACAGUGGUAGAGUGGUGGAGAGAUGAAGGAGUCAUGUUUAUUAUGGAGGACAUUGGGAGAGAUGAUGGAGUCAUGCUUAUUAUGGAGGAAAUUGUGGUAGAGGUAGAGAGAUGAAGGAGUCAUGUUUAUUAUGGAUGACAGUGGUAGAGAUGAAGGAGUCAUGUUUAUUAUGGAUGACAUGGUGGUAGAGAGGUAGAGAGAUGAAGGUGUCAUGUUUAUUAUGGAGGACAGAGGUAGAGAUGAAGAAGUCAUGUUUAUUAUGGAGGACAGUGGUAGAGAUGAAGGAGUCAUGUUUAUUAUGGAGGACAGUGGUAGAGAUGGAGUCAUGUUUAUUAUGGAGGACAGUGGGAGAGAUGAAGGACUCAUGUUUAUUAUGGAGGACAGUGGUAGAGAUGAAGGAGUCAUGUUUAUUAUGGAGGACAGUGGUAGAGAUGAAGGAGUCAUGUUUAUGAUGGAGGACAUGGUGGUAGAGAGAUAGAGAGAUGAAGGAGUCAUGUUUAUUAUGGAGGAGAGAUGUAGAGAUGAAGGACUCAUGUUUAUUAUGGAGGACAGUGGUAGAGAUGAAGGAGUCAUGUUUAUUAUGGAGGACAGUGGGAGAGAUGAAGGAGUCAUGUUUAUUAUGGAGGACAGUGGUACAGAUGAAGGAGUCAUGUUUAUUAUGGAGGACAGUGGUAGAUAUGAAGGAGUCAUGUUUAUUAUGGUGGACAUGGUGGUAGAGAGGUACAGAUGAUGGAGUCAUGUUUAUUAUGGAGGACAGUGGUAGAGAUGAAGGAGUCAUGUUUAUUAUGGAGGACAUGGUGGUAGAGAGAUGAAGGAGUCAUGUUUAUUAUGGAUGACAUAGUGGUAGAGAUGAAGGAGUCAUGUUUAUUAUGGAGGACAGUGGUAGAGAUGAAGGAUUCAUGUUUAUUAUGGAGGACAGUGGGAGAGAUGAAGGAGUCAUGUUUAUUAUGGAGGACAGUGGUAGAGAUGAAGGAGUCAUGUUUAUUAUGGAGGACAGUUGUAGAGAUGAAGGAGUCAUGUUUAUUAUGGAGGACAGUGGUAGAGAUGAAGGAGUCAUGUUUAUUAUGGUGGACAGUGGUAGAGAUGAAGGAGUCAUGUUUAUUAUGGAGGACAGUGGUAGAGAUGAAGGAGUCAUGUUUAUUAUGGAGGAGAGUUGGAGAGAUGAAGGAGUCAUGUUUGUUAUGGAGGACAUGGUGGUACAGAGGUAGAAAGAUGAAGGAGUCAUGUUUAUUAUGGAUGACAUAGUGGUAGAGAUGAAGGAGUCAUGUUUAUUAUGGAGGACAGUGGUAGAGAUGAAGGAGUCAUGUUUAUUAUGGAGGACAGUGGUAGAGAUGAAGGAGUCAUGUUUAUUAUGUAGGACAGAGGUAGACAUGAAGGAGUCAUGUUUAUUAUGGAGGACAGUGGUAGAGAUGAAGGAGUCAUGUUUAUUAUGGAGGAAAGUGGUAGAGAUGAAGGAGUCAUGUUUAUUAUGGAGGACAGUGGUAGAGAUGAAGAAUUCAUGUUUAUUAUGGAGGACAGUGGUAGAGAUGAAGGAGUCAUGUUUAUUAUGUAGGACAGAGGUAGACAUGAAGGAGUCAUGUUUAUUAUGGAGGACAGUGGUAGAGAUGAAGGAGUCAUGUUUAUUAUGGAGGACAGUGGGAGAGAUGAAGGAGUCAUGUUUAUUACGGAGGACAGUGGGAGAGAUGAAGGAGUCAUGUUUAUUAUGGAGGACAGUGGUACAGAUGAAGGAGUCAUGUUUAUUAUGGUGGACAUGGUGGUAGAGAGGUACAGAUGAAGGAGUCAUGUUUAUUAUGGAGGACAGUGUUAGAGAGGUAGAGAUGAUGGAGUCAUGUUUAUUAUGGAGGACAGUGGUAGAGAUGAAGGAGUCAUGUUUAUUAUGGAGGACAUGGUGGUAGAGAGGUAGAGAGAUGAAGGAGUCAUGUUUAUUAUGGAUGACAUAGUGGUAGAGAUGAAGGAGUCAUGUUUAUUAUGGAGGAAAGUUGUAGAGAUGAAGGAGUCAUGUUUAUUAUGGAGGACAGUGGUAGAGAUGAAGGAGUCAUGUUUAUUAUGGAGGACAGUGGGAGAGAUGAAGGAGUCGUGUUUAUUAUGGAGGACAUGGUGGUAGAGAGGUAGAGAGAUG
rnacentral:lncRNA from 1 species